UACAGAGGUCCCAAGCGUUGUUCGGAUUCACUGGGCGUAAAGGGUGCGCAGGCGGCCGUGUGUGUGAGGCGUGAAAGCCUGGAGCUUAACUCCAGAAUUGCACCUCAAACUACACGGCUAGAGCAUUGGAGAGGGUAGCAGAAUUCACGGUGUAGCAGUGAAAUGCGUAGAUAUCGUGAGGAAUACCAGAGGCGAAGGCGGCUACCUGGACAAUUGCUGACGCUCAGGCACGAAAGCGUGGGGAGCAAAAGGG
rnacentral:rRNA from 1 species